CCAAAGGCUCUUUUCAGAGCCACAUGUCUUCACAAGAAGAGUUGU
rnacentral:ncRNA from 1 species